rnacentral:lncRNA from 1 species
AUAAAACAGCGGGUGAAAAAAACGCGGAUCGCAUUGCAGACAUCCUGGAUCGUUUAAGGUGCCCAUUGUGCGGGGGGCUUCCGAUCCAGAUUCGAGUUGAAUGAAUGGAACAAGCGGGCGUCGAUUGCGUGGGACUAAAAUCUUCGAAGUGAAUCGAAGUAAAUCGCGGCAAGACUCACCAACUCCAUAGAACAAAACUCCAGCAGCCGUUGCGUGGCGUUUUCCCUUGCUUCAAUAUCGGCACCCAUAACCACCAAGGAUAUCUGAAACGACAAAAUUGUCAUAAAAACGAAACACGUCGCAUUUCGAAGAUCUAAAAUCACUUCGAGAGGAAGAUACAAAUAGCAAUAAAGUCGCAAGAAAGAAGCUCGUUGCAUAAAUGUAAAUGAUUUCAACGGAUUCCAAUUCCGGCGUCAAUUCCUUCAAUGCUUCAUUGCCUCGCCAUCGAGCGUCGAGGACUUUCCAAAUUCAAAAUGCGAAGUGGCGCAUUAGUGGCUAUUAAGAAUCAAGGACACGAAUGCAACGCGCGGGCCCCGCGAUUUCCUGUUGCUCGUCACUGAAUGACAAUCAUCCACGUAGCCAGAUAUCGGCCGUACAUUCGUUCGCUUAAUCCUCAUUCCGGAUUCAAUCGGUGUCCUGCGUGAGGACACGCCGGGAUCCACUCAGUAUGUCCAUCACGGUCGGGAGUUACGACCAUCCAUCAACAUGCGGUGGGUCCUGACGGGCUGUGGCGAUGGGCUCAGUCAAAGGUCGUAUUCGACUACGGAACGUAAAUUAUCGAUCACCCAGUCGUAUUCUCAAAAUAACAAUUUUUAAAGCUGUUUUAUACUUUGACCACGAUGAUAAAUUAAUAUUGCAUUCUUUUUAUCAAACAAAGAACGCACACUGCUAAAUGUGUUAAAAACACACACUUAAUAAUUUGAAAAUUUUUUACCAUUUAUAUUUUAUAUAUUUAGCACUUUUUUUUUUAAUUUUUUCUCCGUAGAAUAAUGGGAUUUAUUUUGUGCAUGCAAUAAUUUAACAAUCGCGAUCGACACUCCCAGAGUAUUUCUGCCAAGUUAGACCUGUUAAAUGUUAGAGGCGAGUGAUGGGGAGUUGUGAAAACGAUGUACGUAUUUCCGUCGCGGUAUAUUCUGGGAGGUAUGCGCAGCCGGGCCUCGUCGCCAUGUAGAAAGGGGAUGCAUUUUCCACUGACAAAUUUUUUUUUGCAACAGCAAAGAAAAUUUUGACAUAUAAUGACAAAUUUCUAUAUAUCGCUAAAUACAAAAGUUUAAUAAAGUAUACAAUUUUCGGAUAAUCUUUCAGAUAAAAUGCGGGACCAUUAAAAAAUAAUUCUACCGUCUCUCUAUUUUUAAUAUCGACGCGCGGAAAUAUUAUCAUUCGCAAAAAUCUGAAAUAAACGCUACUUCAAAGCUCAUAUGUUCUGGAACAAAUAAAUCAACCUCGACGACCGCCGGUCCAAAGCCGAGAUCAAAAGAUACCGAAAUAGAGCCGCAAGCUUUCAUAAUUUGCCCAGCGCUCGCAUUUGCCGAACUCCCAAACGAUGCCGCAAACGACUGCGAGGUGUCGGUCGACUAAUUAAAUCGGUAGUCAGCUGCAAUUCUUUCCAAAUUGACGUAAUAAACCAUUGCAUUUUUUUCAUAGAAACCAUAAAUGACAUUACCACGUUUUUAAAUGUUUUAUAUUUUUUUAGGCAUAGUAAAGAAUUUUAAAAAUAUAGAAUUUAUUGCCCUCAACGCAAGAGAAAAGUGAUGCGAUUAAGAAAAGAAGAAAAAGGAGAAGCUCAAAGAUUCGCUAUAUAAAUAUAAUAAAUAUAUUGCUCUGGUCUAAACGAAAAAAAGAAGAAAAAAUCCCGUGUCUUCGAGGAAGAAACAUCUUUACUGUUUACUUUAGAAAACCCAUCACAUAAUUCAGAGUUUCCAUCAUGAUUUCCGGUUAUUUCGCUGUGAGAUAACCGAGAAUGAAGCGCUCAUCAGUAGUCAGACAAGGCGAUCUCGAGAGACUCUCUCAAAGUUUACUUGCAUCUCAGCCUCCGCGACUCCCGGCAAUAAAAUAUCCCUGGAUGAGAUCCUUAUACGUGAUUCUACAAUCAGAAAUCAACAAAAGCGCACCCAAGAUAUCUCGAAUUUUACGAAUUGCUCGUUGUUGCGAACACUCUUGUCUUGAUGCGAGAGUAUCUCAAGAAGUUUCCUCUCAAGAUUUCUCAAUGGAGGAACGCGAAGUGCACUACGCUAUUUAAGAUGCAUACCUUGGAGCAGACAUUCCGACAGGAUCCAGCAGCCAUUGAGCAACAGGACAUC